rnacentral:rRNA from 1 species
UACGUAGGGCGCAAGCGUUGUCCGGAAUUAUUGGGCGUAAAGAGCUCGUAGGCGGUCUGUCACGUCUGCCGUGAAAACCCGAGGCUUAACCUCGUGGCUUGCGGUGGAUACGGGCAGACUAGAGGUAGGUAGGGGAGAACGGAAUUCCCGGUGUAGCGGUGAAAUGCGCAGAUAUCGGGAGGAACACCGGUGGCGAAGGCGGUUCUCUGGGCCUUACCUGACGCUGAGGAGUGAAAGCAUGGGGAGCGAACAGG